ensembl:lncRNA ADGRL3-AS1 ADGRL3 antisense RNA 1
AGUUCUAUCAAUCCAGCUUCUUCAGGAUGAUGGGGAACAUGGGUCCCACAAUAGGCCAUCUGUAAGCCGAGGAGCAAGGAAGCCAGUUGAAGUCCCAAAGCUGAAGAGCUUGGAGUCCAAUGUUUGAGGGCAUGGAACAUCCAGCACUGGAGAAAGAGCUCCUGAAAUCGUUUGGUGAAGUUUCUGAAAAGUAAUACAGCAGGCAAAUAAAAUCUGCAGGAGACAGCAGAAGGAAAAGCAAUUAUUCUGAAUAAUCUACACAUAAAUUGCUGUAACUUCUCACCUGGAUUCCAGAGCUCUCAUGAAGAAAUAUGAUUUUGUUUGAUAUUUACCACCCCCUUCAAUUUUGAGGAGCGAUUACUUCCAAAUUUACAAUGGAAUGAUAGAAUUAACAAUGUGCUAAAGACUUUCUAAGAUGUGAGAAAUUACCAGCUUUAAGAGGCAUAAAGGCUUUUAGCAAAUUGAGGGAAUUUGAAUUUCU